rnacentral:rRNA from 1 species
UACAGAGGUCCCAAGCGUUGUUCGGAUUCACUGGGCGUAAAGGGUGCGUAGGUGGCAGGGUAAGUUUGAUGUGAAAUCUCCGAGCUUAACUCGGAAACUGCAUUGAAUACUAUCCUGCUUGAGGGUUGGAGGGGAGACUGGAAUUCUCGGUGUAGCAGUGAAAUGCGUAGAUAUCGAGAGGAACACCAGUGGCGAAGGCGACUACCUGGCCUGUUCUUGACGCUGAGGCGCGAAAGCUAGGGGAGCAAACGGG